rnacentral:rRNA from 1 species
AGGUCCAGCCUGCCCAGUGACCACAAGUUUAACGGCCGCGGUAUCCUGACCGUGCAAAGGUAGCGCAAUCACUUGUCUUUUAAAUAGAGACCUGUAUGAACGGCCAAACGAGGGCUUAACUGUCUCCCCUCUCAAGUCAGUGAAAUUGAUCUACCCGUGCAGAAGCGGGUAUAAUGAUACAAGACGAGAAGACCCUUUGGAGCUUAAGGUACAAAACUCAACCCACGUCAAGCAACUUAAUAAAGAAUGUAAACUUUGUGGGACAUGAUAUUUUACCUUCGGUUGGGGCGACCACGGAGGAAAAAAAAGCCUCCAAGUGGAUUGGAAAAACCUCCUAAAACUAAGAGAGACAUCUCUAAGCCACAGAACAUCUGACCAAACAUGAUCCGGCAACAAAGCCGAUCAACGAACCAAGUUACCCUAGGGAUAACAGCGCAAUCCUCUCCCAGAGUCCAUAUCGACGAGAGGGUUUACGACCUCGAUGUUGGAUCAGGACAUCCUAAUGGUGCAGCCGCUAUUAAGGGUUCGUUUGUUCAACGAUUAAAGUCCUACGUGAUCUGA